CACGUAGGGGGCAAGCGUUGUCCGGAAUUAUUGGGCGUAAAGAGCUCGUAGGCGGCUCGGUAAGUCAGGUGUCAAAUCCUCAGGCUCAGCCUGGGGCUCCACCUGAUACUGCUGUGGCUAGAGUCCGGUAGGGGAGCGUGGAAUUCCUGGUGUAGCGGUGAAAUGCGCAGAUAUCAGGAGGAACACCAGCGGCGAAGGCGGCGCUCUGGGCCGGAACUGACGCUGAGGAGCGAAAGCGUGGGUAGCAAACAGG
rnacentral:rRNA from 1 species